rnacentral:lncRNA from 1 species
AUGAACCUUACAGCCUAAAUAUGCUUCACAAGGCCAUGGGGAAACCUGCAGAUUUGGAGGAGCCUUACAGCUGUUGUUCCUGGGGAGCUCUUGCAGCACCCUCUGUGGUGCCUAUGAGAUGGUUUCAGCAAGUGGGUGUCUGGAAAGAGCCAACAAGAGUCAUUUAAACUCUUCCACCCUGAAUGUGAUGCAGAAUAAUUUAAGCUUCUGUGCUGUCAUUAAAGGCCUAAACUGUGGCACAGGAACACUGAAAGAAGUUGUAGUUGAAAUGCAAAAGGAAAUCAUAUGGAUGAGGUCGGGUUUUGUUUUAAAGACACGCAGAGAUGAGCUGUGGCUAUUGAGGAGUGACUGUCCGCAGGAAACGAGGAAAGCUGGCACAGCACAGAGGGACUGA